rnacentral:rRNA from 1 species
GAUGAACGCUGGCGGCGUGCUUAACACAUGCAAGUCGAACGGUGAACGAGGGAGCUUGCUCCCUCCGGAUCAGUGGCGAACGGGUGAGUAACACGUGAGCAAUCUGCCCUGGACUCUGGGAUAAGCGUUGGAACGACGUCUAAUACCGGAUACGAGGCGUGGGGGCAUCCCCAACGCCUGGAAAGAACUUCGGUCCAGGAUGAGCUCGCGGCCUAUCAGCUAGUUGGUGAGGUAACGGCUCACCAAGGCGACGACGGGUAGCCGGCCUGAGAGGGUGACCGGCCACACUGGGACUGAGACACGGCCCAGACUCCUACGGGAGGCAGCAGUGGGGAAUAUUGCACAAUGGGCGCAAGCCUGAUGCAGCAACGCCGCGUGAGGGACGACGGCCUUCGGGUUGUAAACCUCUUUUAGCAGGGAAGAAGCGAAAGUGACGGUACCUGCAGAAAAAGCACCGGCUAACUACGUGCCAGCCGCCGCCGUAACAC